rnacentral:rRNA from 2 species
AGGUGUAGAGUAUUGUUAUAUAAAAGAUGAAAAUAUGAAUUGGCAUAUAUAGAAGUAUUGAUAAAGAUAGUGUAAUAGUGUUGACUUUAUUGGUAUAGUGGAUUAUAGGCAGAGAACGCAUUAGUGUCGGUACUUUUUGCAUCAUGGUUUAUAGAGAGAGUUCAGUUAGCUGUGUUCCCGAAAGUCAUAGAUCUAUUCUAAUUGAAAUAAGCUGUUGUUCAUAUAGUUAUGAGAUGUGCUGUGCUUUAAUGUUGGAAAAUUGUUUGAGAAGGUUAGAAUAGGGCGAAAAGCUAUUCGCGAUGGCUGAUAGCUGGUUAGGGAGGAAAUGUAUUUGAGUGCAGGCUCUUCUUUUGUUUGUUUUAUAUAUAAAGCGAAUAAGGGUUUGGCUGAUGUAUAUGGGAGUUAGCUCGUGUGCGUGUAUGGGUUUAUGGUAAGUAGUACUAGGUAGGAUUUAGACUGUCUUUCUUUAUAAAACUUAUUUAAGGUAAACAAAAAUGUAUUGUUUGUUAGGUACUCCCUUAGUCUGGUUAAUGUAGUUGGUUCGGAUUAGUAUAAAAUGAGUAGAAAUGGUAGAAUUAGAAGUUACUUAGGUUGUUGGGUGUGAAUCCGACAUAUAAGAUUUGUAUAUACGUUUUUGAUAGGUUUUUGUUGAAGGAAUAUACUCUUAAUGAACUCGGCAAAUCUUUUCUGCACCUGUUUAUUAAAAACAUGGCCUCUUGAUUUAGGUUGAAAAGGGGUUAGGCCUGCCCGGUGGGUUAUUCUAAACGGUCGCAGCUUUUACUGUGCUAAGGUAGCGUAAUAGGUCGUCCUUUAAUUGGGGAAAAGUAUGAAUGGUCAGAUGGUGGAAAGACUUUAUUAGGGGUAGUAUUUUGAAGUUUACUUUCAGUGUGCAAAGGCCUGAAUAAUAUUAUUAGACGAGAAGACCCUGUUGAGCUUGAUAAAGUAUAGCCAAUUAGGCUGUAUAGUACGUUUGUUCGGGGCCGAGAGGAAGGGAUGAUUAUUCCUUCUUUGUCUGUGAGGAUCCAGCAAGGCUGAUAAGAAGAAGAUAGUUACCACAGGGAUAACAGCGCAAUCUUUUUGUCAAGAUCUAAUUUGAGGAUGGGUUUGCGACCUCGAUGUUGAAUCAGAGUUUCUAUUAGGUGUAGCAGCUUAGUAAGUGUGACUGUUCGUCAUUUGAAAUUUUACGUGAUUUGAGUUUAGACCGGCGUGAGCUAGGUCGGUUUCUAUCUGUAGUUUGGAAAAUCCUAGUACGAAAGGAUCGGGUUUUUUAGUUUUUACUAAAGUGUUUUGAUACGGGUUGAGUUUAUAUAUUUAUGGGUUGUUAAUAACCUACAUAUGUGUAG